rnacentral:tRNA from 1 species
GGGGCUAUAGCUCAGUUGGUAGAGUGCUUGUCUUGAAUGCAUGCACAAGGCCCUGGGUUCAAUCCCCAGCACCACCA